UACGUAGGGUGCAAGCGUUGUCCGGAAUUAUUGGGCGUAAAGGGCUCGUAGGCGGUCUGUCGCGUCGAAUGUGAAAACCCGGGGCUCAACCCCGGGCCUGCUUUCGAUACGGGCAGACUGGAGGUAUGCAGGGGAGAACGGAAUUCCUGGUGUAGCGGUGAAAUGCGCAGAUAUCAGGAGGAACACCGGUGGCGAAGGCGGUUCUCUGGGCAUGUCCUGACGCUGAGGAGCGAAAGUGUGGGGAGCGAACAGG
rnacentral:rRNA from 1 species